AUUGAACGCUGGCGGCAGGCCUAACACAUGCAAGUCGAGCGAGCGGCGGACGGGUGAGUAAUGUCUGGGAAACUGCCCGAUGGAGGGGGAUAACUACUGGAAACGGUAGCUAAUACCGCAUACUAUCGGAUGUGCCCAGAUGGGAUUAGCUAGUAGGUGGGGUAACGGCUCACCUAGGCGACGCUCCCUAGCUGGUCUGAGAGGAUGAUCAGCCACACUGGGACUGAGACACGGGCCAGACUCCUACGGGAGGCAGCAGUGGGGAAUAUUGCACAAUGGGCGCAAGCCUGAUGCAGCCAUGCCGCGUGUAUGAAGAAGGCCUUCGGGUUGUAAAGUACUUUCAGCGGGGAGGCGUUACCCGCAGAAGAAGCACCGGCUAACUCCGUGCCAGCAGCCGCGGUAAUAC
rnacentral:rRNA from 1 species